AUAAAGCAAACAUGAAAUCAAAACUAAAAGAUACUGAAAUAAGAAAGCACUGCAUAUUUUUCACUUUCCGGCCCCUCCCUCGUUUUCCUUCCACCGUUCCGACCUCCCGCCUCCGCCAUAGCGCGCAAAACCUAAAGGCAACGGCAAAAUCCCGCCUUUUGUACCAUCCUCCGUAUGCUCUGAUUCACAAUAUUAGCUGAACACUCCCAUUAGCCCCUCGACGUCGGCGACCUUGAAUCCCUCCUCGUUUCCUUCGCAGGAUUGCGUCGUUGCCCAGACCGAGCUCUAUCGCCUCAUAUAGCCAGUUCUACGCAGGUGACGGAGUUGAACUAUCUGGACUCAUUAAACGCUUGAGUCAACUGAUGGGUUGCUGCGAGCUAAGGUUUCCGGAUCUGGGAAGCAAAGCCGAAGCCCUCGUUGUCGAACUACUCACCACGACUAGAGGACGAACUCGAUCGUUUCAGGAGGACGAUCUAAAAAGAAAAAUCGACCCAAAUCUGGAAAAAAUGCUAGUGAUUUUAAAGAACACCGCUAUGGAUCCUUGCGUUGAUCGAGCUGGAGCGGAUCAAGAAUGGGAGCGCCAAGUACUGAAUUCGAGAAAAGCGCUCUUUGUCAUACCAGAAAAGUGUGUUGAAGCGGAGGAAUUCCUAUAUAGAGUAAAGUACUACCUCAACCCGAAGUUGCUCUAUUUUAAGUCCUGGCUAUUGUUCCCGAGUGAUCUUUCAAGCUACCUAUGUAAAAGGAAGAGGCACACCUAUCACAAUAUGAGCAGUGAGACACUAGAUCUGCAAAAACGAAGGUCUAAAAGAUUAUUAGAUUUGGAAAAAUUUGGUGAGAUCCUUGGUACAUAUCCUUUAAGAAGAAUUCCAAUCGGUGGUCAUGCUCAAGCUGACAUACCUGACUGGACUGGUCCAGCUGAAAAGCAUGAUGAUUCACAGGAUAAUUCAGAUGAGUCAAGGUGGUUGGGUACCAUAGUAAGACCAAAAAAGUGGAAUGAUAAUGAGUUAAAACGGGGCUCCAUUGGCAAAGGAAGGGAAGACUUAUGUGGUUGUGUCUCCUCAGGAUCAGUAAACUGUGUCAAGCUUCAUGUCAGAAAAGCUAGACGUCACCUGAAGUCUGAUCUGGGUCCAGCUUUCUUUGAUUGGUGCUUCCAUGAAAUGGGUGAAGAAGUCUCCAAGUCUUGGACCCUUAAAGAGCAGGCGAAGUUUGAUGAGAUAGUCAGACUAAAUCCUGAAUCAAAAGGUAGAAGUUUCUGGGACGAAGCCUUGAAGCAUUUCACCACCAAAAGAAGGAAAGAUAUUGUUAGCUAUUACUUCAAUGUCUACGUUUUGAGAUGGAUUUGCAGUUACACAAGAUUGAAAUCUGAAGCAGCUGAUAGUGAUGAUAAUGUUGAUGAUGAAGACAGCAACAGGGAUUCUGAUUAUCUAAAGAACCUCAAGCAUUCUGUGGCAAUGCAUUCUAAAUAUUCAAAACGAAGGUAUCUGACUAGGAAUACGUAAAGAUGUACUCAGCCGCAGGAACUUAACUGUGCUUCAGUUACCCCUUCCAUUAAACUUGCUUAUACAUCAAGCAUCCGUUUGAUGAGUUUUGCAAGCAAGAGGAUUUUUGCGGUACCAGUUUUUUUUCUUGAUUUUAGAGUCUCAAGUUCAGACCUGGAAUCACUUCUCGCUGCUUUUUGGGCAAAUUGUGUUUCAGGUAAUUAUUAACUGGAUUUCUUGGAUAUCUCAAUACGGCUUUACAGUUAGACAUUAGGCUUCUUUUUUAAGAAUUCUGCUAUAAAAAGAAUUUAAGUGGCACUUUCCUAUAUUUCCGAGGAACUUUUCUUUCUUGGAAUUUAUGUCACUUAUUUGCUCAAGGGUAAAUUAUUUGCAAUUGCUAGACUUUUAGGGAUGCUAGCAAUCGGCUUUGUUUUUCUUUUCUGCCUUUUAUUUGCAAAAGUGGCCAACAGGUGCAGACCAAUAGUGGCCGUAUAUUUCAAAGUUUUUUAGCCAUUGAAAUCGCUAAUUAGCCCAAUCAAUGGUUAGGCUUCGGCACCGGAGUUGAAGUUCAUAAAUCUUUUCUUCUUUAAAGAUUUAUUAGCUUAGUUAUCUUACGUGUUGCAUGAAGCUCAAUUUGUAGUGCAUUGGCUCUCCAAACGAGUUUCUGGAACUCAAUGUAUAACGUAUAGACCCUUCAAGCAAGCAUUUGAAGCAUAUGGUUGUGCCAACCAUAAUAAUAAACCUUCCAUCAGAAGUGAUUGUUCCGCCAAAAUUGAGAUUUGGCCAUUCAACCGUUAGCUCCUAGAGGAACACAUGAGAAGCCUUGGCCCCAGAAAAAUACAUUAGAUAUGUGUGAUUAUUGAUUAAUAAGAAAUAAAAUUUAGUAAAGGUUAAAAUAAUGAGAUGUUGAUGUCUCUAUCAUAUAUUAUUUUGUUAUUUUUCUCCAAAUCUUACACUCAGCAUGCCAAACAUCAUUGAUUAUGGUUCAAACUAAAUGACAAGAACAUACUUUUAAUAGU